rnacentral:rRNA from 1 species
GGGUUGUGAGGUUAAGCGAAUAAGCGUACACGGUGGAUGCCUAGGCAAUCAGAGGCGAUGAAGGACGUGCUAA